rnacentral:lncRNA from 7 species
CAGACCACUGCAAGGUGUGGAGCUACUUGUAUUCUAUUUUGUGUAGCCUCUCCCCAGUCCCUAGGUUUGCCUGACCCUGAACCGAGCACAACAAUCCCUGAGUGGUGACCACAACCAGCAGUUCACCUAUAUCACCGUGGCCAGAACGGAGUCAAGUCAUCGUGGAACUGGUGCUGCGGGCAGCCUCACCGUGGACCGAUCGACUGGAGUCAUCCCUGGUCAAUCUCGCGCACGCACCGAGACUUUGGAAGGUCAGUGAAGCUCUCUACGCCAUUAAUUUGAACUCGACCACGAGAUUAGGAUCGUCAGAGCAACUGUCCGCCGCCGCUGAC